UACGAAGGGGGCUAGCGUUGCUCGGAAUCACUGGGCGUAAAGCGCACGUAGGCGGCUUUUUAAGUCAGGGGUGAAAUCCUGGAGCUCAACUCCAGAACUGCCUUUGAUACUGAGAAGCUUGAGUCCGGGAGAGGUGAGUGGAACUGCGAGUGUAGAGGUGAAAUUCGUAGAUAUUCGCAAGAACACCAGUGGCGAAGGCG
rnacentral:rRNA from 1 species